UGAUGAAUAAGACCGAAUUUCUUGUAAUUUUCUGGAGUGUGGAUGGACAGACAAAAAAAAAAUGUUUUUGUUUUUGUUUUCAUAUUUUAAUUCUUGACCAUCAGGGAGAACUUGGGCUGCCAGGGGACAGGGGACCAUCUGGAAUCAAAGGCAUGGAGGGGGCUACAGGUGACCAGGGCAGGAAAGGCGAUCCAGGACCUAAAGGACAACAAGGAGAAUCUGGAGAUCUGGGGAUGGUUGGUCUGCAGGGCUUCCCAGGACCAAAGGGGCCAAACGGUGAUUUG
rnacentral:lncRNA from 1 species